GACGAACGCUGGCGGCGUGCUUAACACAUGCAAGUCGAACGGUGAAGCGCCUUCCUUUUUGGUGGGUGUGGAUGAGUGGCGAACGGGUGAGUAACACGUGAGUAACCUGCCCCCUUCUUCUGGAUAACGGCAUGAAAGUGUGGCUAAUACGGGAUAUUCUGGGUCUGUCGCAUGAUGGGUCUGGGAAAGAUGUUGUUUCGGUGGGGGAGGGGCUCGCGUCCGAUCAGCUGGUUGGUGGGGUGAUGGCCUACCAAGGCGGUGACGGGUGGCCGGCCUGAGAGGGUGGCCGGUCUCAGUGGGACUGAGACCCGGUCCAGACUGCUACGGGAGGCAGCAGUGGGGAAUAUUGCACAAUGGGCGAAAGCCUGAUGCAGCGACGCCGCGUGAGGGAUGGAGGCCUUCGGGUUGUGAACCUCUUUCGCCAGUGAAGCAGGCCUGCCUCGUUUGUGGGUGGGUUGACGGUAGCUGGAUAAGAAGCGCCGGCUAACUACGUG
rnacentral:rRNA from 1 species